rnacentral:rRNA from 1 species
UAACUAGGAUUCCCCAAGUAAUGGCGAAUGAAAGGGGAAGAGCCCAGCGCUGAAUCUCUCGGUCUUAGGCCGCUGAGAACUGUAGCGUAUAGGUGUGACUGUCCUGCUAUAUUGCAUUUCCGAAGUCUCUUUGAUAGGGGCCAACAUCCAGAGAGGGUGCGAGACCUGUACGGAAAGUAGUAUAGUUGGUAUGGUUACUCCUUGGAGUCGGGUUGCUUGAAAGUGCAGCCUAAAGUUGGUGAUAAACUUCAUCUAAGGCUAAAUAUCGACGCGAAAUCGAUAGCAAACAAGUACCGUGAGGGAAAGUUGCAAAGAACUUUGAAGAGAGAGUUCAAGAGAACGUGAAAUCGCUGAAGUGGAACCGGAGAGAGUUAACAUAACUUGGUAGCUAUAUCCUCUAAAGUCGCUUAACUGUGGCUCUGGGGGGUGGACGCUACCUGUUGUUGCACUGACUGCGUUGAUUGUGCUUUCCGAACAGUAUAGUGUUGCCCACUUUGUGGUGUCUUGCUUUCUGGGAGGUUUGUCAUAAUUAACGUAAAGCCAAUUCCCUUUGGAGUCAGUGUGAAAGUUAACCACCUUUCCGACCCGUCUUGAAACACGGACCGAGGAGUGUAAUUUAUACGCGAGUCAAGGGGUGGUGAAAACCCUAGGGGCGGAAUGAAAGUAAAGGCCGGUUAACCGGUUGACAUGGGAUCCGCUCUUCGGAGCGGCGCACCAUGGCCCUGUCUUGUCUGCUUGCAGAUGGGCAGCGGUAGAGCGUAUAGUUUGCGACCCGAAAGAUGGUGAACUAUGCUUGAGCAGGACGAAGCCAGAGGAAACUCUGGUGGAAGUCCGUAUCGGUUCUGACGUGCAAAUCGAUCGAUAGACU